rnacentral:misc_RNA from 1 species
UAUUUGUUUAUAAAAUGUGUUGUUUUCUUUUAAUAUUUUACGAAUCAGUGUAUAAAAGAAAUGGAACAUUUCUCCAUUAAAUUGAGGUUACGUGAGAACUAACCUAUUCUGCUACAGUUAUAAAUAUAUAUAAAUGCAUAUAAACACAUUGAAUAAAAACGUUCCAUUUGCAAGUGCUAUAUUAAUAUUUCUGUUAUAUCAGAAUGAUUACGCGAAUGUUUCAAAAAACUGUAAUAAAUAUCACACACAAUAAUGGAAUUCUUAUUAAAUAUUUUCAUCAUUGUAACAAUGUCUCGUUUCGAAAUGUUCAAGAAACUGUAUUUUUGAAAAAUACAGCGUUGGUGUAUUCUUCAAAUGAGCGAAAUGUUCCCAAAAGGCAAAACAUUUCUGCACAUCAACAAAUGCAUACUAAUAUCUUUAAAGGACCACUUUUAUGUAAUGCUACUCCAGUAUUAAGCAGUACAAUUCCUGUGAAUCAGCGUUUUACUGUAAAUAACAUUAGACAAUAUUCAAGUUCAUCACCUGAAAUUUUAAAUCAGACUGCAGUAUAUAGUAAUGGUGUAUGGCAAUUUUUUUCUGAAAGUUUACCUGUAGAAUAUCUUACACAGGCCUUAAAGAUAUUGCAAUCUGAAACAGGCUUACCAUGGUGGGCAACUAUUAUUCUUACAACAAUUAUGCUGAGAGUAUUUAUAAAUUUACCAUUAACUAUACAUGAUCAUCAAGUUAGAGCUAGGAUACAAAAUAUACAAUCUGAAUUAAAUGAAACUGCAAAAAAAUUACAAAUGGAAGCACGAAUGGGUAUGGCAACAUCUGGAUGGACUGCAUCAUAUGCAAACGCUGCCGUUAGACGUGCUUUAGCUGAAGAACGAACACAAUUGUAUCAAAUACAUAAUUGUCAUCCAUUAAAGAGUGCUGCAAUAAUAAUGCUUCAAGCACCCAUAUGGAUUAGUCUCUCCGUUGCAUUAUCAAACAUGUGUUACAUGUUACCUUACAGGAAUAAUGCUGCCUAUCAAACCUAUCUUCAAUUUACAACUGGUGGUUUUGGAUGGAUAAAAGAUCUUACAGUGACAGAUCCUUGUUUUGUGCUACCUAUACUUUUUGGGCUAUCUGGAUUAACUGUUAUAGAAAUAAAUCAGUUGUUAUUUAGAGUAAAAAAUGAAUCGAAAUUUACAAAGUAUAUGACAUACUUUUUGAGAGCAGUUAUUAUUUUCUUUGUAUAUAUUAUGGCAUAUAUGCCAUCAAGUUUGGCUUUGUACUGGACCACAAAUAAUUACUGUACACUGUUGCAAUCUCUUUUGCUGUUAUCUCCAAAGAUCCGCAGACUAGGAAGAAUACCUAAAACACAAUCUGAGUACCCACAUCCAUAUUCAGAAUUGUACAAAAAAUUAAAAGACAAAGUUGUUCUAAAAUUAAAAUAAAUUAAAAUGAAAGCAAUAAUUUGUGUCUAUUAUAUUCAAUUUAUAAUGCAGAUAACAAAGAGCGAUCGUUCAUAUUGUAUGAAAAUUCAUCAAUACAGGAAGCAACUUGAUUUACAAUGUGUUAAAUCUUUUGGUUUUAUUUUAAGAUCUUCUUCCUAGAAUGAACAUAGUGCUGCCUGCACCUUUGAUCUUGAUCGUUUCGCGAUACUAAGAUAGCAGAUUAAAUCACGUUCUUAUUUAUUGCGCCGAACAUGCAAUAUACAUCAAAUUCAUUUCAUUAGCAAAGAAGAUCUGAGG